UGUGUUGUUUUCAACGCAGAGAUUGUCCAGGCGCCGGAUCUGAGACAGUACUUAUCACAUCGGUACGACUGGGUCUCAGCCGGUCAGCUCAUGGGUGGAACAUUGACAUUGGUGCGGAGCCGAACGGCUCGAACUUAGUACGCCUGCUUGCAGGAAGGAACAGUUCGGACCGGGGAGCCUCGCACAUGCACGCUGUUGGGUCCUGAGGGACCGGACCUCAUCGCUGUGUCUUCAAGACGCUGAGAUGAGAACCGAAUCCUCUGGACCUUUUUUGGUCGGCCAUAACUGGGCCGGCGGAAAAGGUACCGCCCGUACUUUGAGAACUACACAGUGGACGCGAGCAUCUUAGAUUCGGACCUUCGGGUUCGGAUCACAAAAGAUGAUCAUAGUACUUUCGAGUACUGAUUAGAUCAUUGGUCAAUCUGCUCACUUCGGUGAGCCGAUCGAUUCAAACUCAUGUGAU
rnacentral:misc_RNA from 1 species